UGAGAAGUUAGCCAACCAUCCGGCGGGUAUGUGGUACCCGGGUGGUGGUUGACUUCUUCCU
rnacentral:pre_miRNA from 1 species